GGAGGUGGGAGGUGCGAGCGCGCCGGCCCAGCCCUUCUUUUGUUCCGUAGAACAUUCCUUUGCUCCGGACCUGGAGAGGCUGCGGUUCCUGUUUCAGGCUAUGUUUCGGGAAACUGACACCAAAUGUGCAGCCGAAAACCUGGCUCCUGCUGCCUCCUAGUUGUUGGCCUUGAGCAAUUCCUUUGACCUCCCUGAACCGCAGUUUCCUUACUGGUUAAAUGGGAGCCAAAUGCUGAUAUGGAAGAGUCACUGUGAGAGUAAAUUAAAUGCGAAAACACCAAGAAGAAAAGCUGCAGGGACAAAGUGGACGUCAGACACUUGGCUUUGGAAAGUCUCCACUGAUAAAAAGCUAACAUGUAUUAUGUUCUCCUCCUUCCCCCGCCCCCAUUGCACGGACAAUCUAUCAUCUUCCUAAGGACUUUGAAACCUCACUUUCUCGAACAUAGGCCCCAGGAGGAGAGGGACCACCUGCAGUGUUCACAGCUGUGAUCUGAGCUCCUCUCCAGUGCUAACAAAAGCCCAGCUCUCUUUGUGGGACAUAUGAUGGCCUCCAGCAGUCCAAGAUUUAGCUUAGCAACCUCAAGG